GAUAGGGUUAGAAGAAUGAGUGAGUUUGCUAGAGCUGCAUUUUCCAGGCGACGUUUGCAAUUGCAGGAAGGAAUUGUAUGAAUGAUGAUGGAUGGUAGAUGUGAGAAUGUGGGGGUACGAAUGUGGGGGUGUUUCUGAAUGGUAAUUUUUGUUGAACAUUGUGUUGUGAUGGGGCUACCAACCCUUAACUGUUUGGAGUUUAAAUUGGAAGUGCCCUUCUGGUACGAGGCCUGACCGGAGGCUUUUAAUCUGGUACCACGGGUAACCAGGAGCCCACGGAACUUGUUCCGUCCUGGUUAGUUGGUGCGGCCCUUCGGGGAGUAUCGUGGUGGUUGUGGUUUAACACCCAAAUGCGGGUAGAGCAUCGCUCGACGUGGAGUUGCGUCAUACAACCGGGUUCCGUGACCCAGAUUACGGAAGAGGCUUAGAUAGUCCUCGUGCCAAACCAAGGUAGAAGUCACAACCAAACAGUCGUGUCUUUAAUUGGUACCUGCGGAAUUGUUCCAAGGGGGCGGUGAUUGACGCUUGAAUUAAUCCUAUACUAGGAACCGUGAGAUUAAGCCAUCGCGGCAGGUGCUCACGUUAAGCCCACUGACUUUCAUGUCCCUAUCUACUAUCUAGCGAAACCACAGCCAAGGGAACGGGCUUGGAAUAAUUAGCGGGGAAAGUAGACCCUUUCGAGCUUUGACUCUUAUCCUGGUAGUGCUAAAGAGACAUACGACGUGUAUAAUAAGUCGUAGAAUAUAAACAUCCGGUUAGGGAUCUACAAGGGAAUACCACCAC
rnacentral:ncRNA from 1 species